AUCUGGCGCCGGCAUGUCCUCUCUGAUUCUCAAAUUUCCUCCCAACUUCGUUCGCCAGCUUAGCACUAAAGCUCGAAGAAACUGCAGCAACAUCGGCGUCGCGCAAAUCGUUGCUGCCUCGUGGUCUAACAACUCCGCCGCAGGUGCUCCAUCCGCGGCGGCGGCGGCUGCUGCUGCAGCUGCUGCCUCCGCAAUCCCCGCAGCCGAGCCGGCCAAGACCUUGGCCGGAAAUGAGGUGGUGGGGAUUGAUAGCAGUGAUAAUAAGAAUGUAAGUGUUGUACAGUUGGAGGAUUUGAGUAGC
rnacentral:lncRNA from 1 species